AUAUUAGUCCCUAUUAAUUUAACUACUAUGGCUCAUUGGGUUUUGGUAUGUAUGAAUUUAGAGUUGAAACAAAUGCAAUAUUAUGAUAGUCUGCAAGGAGAUGGUAUUUUAUACCUAAAAAAAAUUUUUGAGUUUUUGAGUUAUGUACAUUUACAUUCAAGAGGAACGCCAUUAAAUUCAAAAGAAUGGUCUUUUAUAAAUGUAACUAACAUUCCUACUCAAAAGAAUAGUUAUGAUUGUGGUGUAUUUCUUUGUACAUAUGCGGAGUACAUAGCCAGGGACGCCGUGUUUAACUUUUCACAAGAACACAUGCUCUCAUUUCGUCAACUAAUCGCAUAUGAGUUAACGACGAAAAAAUUAGUUGAUGUAAAUGUGGAAGCUCAAGACAUUGACGCAUUUAUUAGGAGUAUAGUAAAUGCAUAAUAAAUAAAUAUUUAUAUUAAAAUCAAUUUAAUAUAUUCAGUCAUAUUUAAUACGUGAAGUGGUCUAAACACGUUAAACAAAUUAAUCUGUUUUUAUAAAAAAGUUGAAUAUGGCAGAGCUCGCCAAGUACCUCCACAGUUACGGUACGCAGUACGCACAAUCAUAACCAUUAUUUUGACAAUACGGGACAUAAAAUCCAUCUGAUCCGUCUAAUCAUUCUAAAUUGCAAUUAAAUAUACUGAUAAACAUACUAAGAUCCAAUGGUUUUUGUUUUUUAAAUUAAUUACAAAAAUGAGUUUUGUUUAAAAUAUAUAUAUAUAUUUUGUCCAGUAAAGUUUAAAUAAAAAAUGUGUUAAAUCAUAUAAAGUAUUUGGAAUAUGUGCUGUUAUCAGAUCCAUGUAAUUGUUUAUAACAUUAACAUUUAUCUAAAAUCAUUUUCCACAAAUUAUGCUAACACUGGAAAAACUAGCCAUCAUUUUCAUAAACCAAAUUUUAUAUCAAUGGUCAUCAACAUGAUGUUCCAGUCAUUCUUCUAACUACUCCUACUAUUCAUAGAAUUAAGGAAAUUACACUUUGUUUAAUGCUUUUGCAUCAUUAUCAAGUGCUAGUAUUUCUGCAAUUUGAAUUGUAUGUAUUGAGUACUAAACUUGAAAUAACAGACAUGUAUAUUGCUACGACCGCUACAGGAUUAUGAAUCAUAGAAAAAGUUUGUUUAGCAAACUCACGAUAUACAUGGCAAUCUUAUUUAGCGAAGAAUUUUGGUUGUGCGGUAUUCUUAAGUGAACCACUUAUUCGAUUUCAAUUAUCCAAGUAAUUUUCAUAGGAAGAAUUAGUAAUAAUAAUUUACUGGUGAAAUUCAUAAGCGAGAUCGAAGGUUAUGGUACAUUACUUGGUUCUAUAACAAUCUAUAACAUUGCCAAUAUUAUAUUUCAUUCAUCAGCAGUACUUGGCACAUUUGUCUUAAGCUGAUACAUAAUUAUACAAUUAUUAUUUUCAAAAAGUUCCAAGACACAAGAUUUAUUAAUUGUGAAUCAAUUAUUGAACAAAAAAAAUACAUGUACAAUCUUGUAGAAUUGGUUUGGUUAGGUUAGGAAUUCAUUGUAUUCCAGUGUUAGUAUAUAUAUUUAAUAUAUUAGUUCAAUUUUCAAUUUUCAAUUUUAUUUUUUAUAUACUGUAGUAAUUAUGUAGUAAAUUUUGUUUUUUAUAAUGUUAAGAUUUAAAAAUG